CUGGUUUCCUGCUCUAAUGGCAGAGUUAUGUAGUAGUGACAGAGACAGUGCCCACAAGGCCAAAAAUAAUUACUACCUCCACCUUUACAGAAAAUGUCUGCUGGAAGAAUAAUUUAAAUCCUUCAAAUAUGUUGACUUUGUUGACCAAACUUUCAAAAUGCAUUUAGUAGAGAUAGUUUAAGGCUAUGGGUUCCUAAUGUGAAGACCAGUGAACAGGUUGGCACCAAGGACUACUAGCUGGUCCUAAGCCUGGGAGGACAACAUGCAACGGAUCGUGUAGCCACGGGAAUAGCCUGACUCUGAGUUGGAAGAGAUGGAAACAUCUAAAACAUCUAAAACAUUCCAUUGUACAGAUGGAUGAGGCCUAGAUAAAGAGAAUUGAAAUGACUUAUCCCGGACAUAAAGUCAAUACUGGUUUCAAACUUGACUACAUAUUGUAUUCACUCGAGGAACAUUACAAAUGCUGCUUCGAGGGUCCCGACCACAUAGAUUCUGACCUAAUUGGUUUGGGGGCGCUGCACGGGCACCGAGGAUUUCUAAAGCUUCCCAGGUGGUUCUCACAUGCAGACAGUGCUGAAAAUCCCUGACCCAGUUAGUGGUCAGCCAAGACGUUAAAAACAGGUGUUCUGCCCCAAGGCCUAGAAUAAACAAUUACUUUUUGAUAGGAGGGACCUGGAGCUUUCACAUGUCACAGUGUCAUGAAAAUUGGAAGGGGACAUGCAAGGCCAUACUCCCACCCCUCGGUGACUCUCAAUGUUUUGUCUGUGGUUUUUACCAUCAUUCUCAACUCUUUCCACUGCUCACAACAACGUUUGAACUGCCAAACCCAGGGGUAAUCCUCUUUCAACAGCCUCUGGAGAAAUCCCAGAGUUUAUUCUCACAGGAUAGAAAACUUAAGCUUUCAUUCACAAAUAAUAUAAAGUAAAAGGUAUGCUUUCCGUUACCAACAGGAAAUUUUCACAGACUUUUAGGGUCAUUUAGAUAAAACUUCCAUUUCAACGUGUAACACCUUAUAGUCAGCGUGGUAGAAUAAACUGCAAUAAACAUGAAGUAACCAGACUAGUUAGCAAUCACCCGCAGACACACACCUGUCUCCUCCAUAAGCUGUUAGACUUCAACAGGACACAAAAACAAGCCCUUGAAAAACCCGUGGCCCUUUACGAUUUAAGCUGAUGAUGAUCUUUCCUAGCAGAAACUCAACAGAUGAGACAACAAGCCGGAGAUAUGCUCAAAAAUAAAAACCAGUAUUUGGUGAAGAUCAAGGCACAGCUCACAAUGUCUGAUCAAAGGUGUCUGAAGGGCUGAACCCUUACAUGUACACCCAGGAGAGAGAACUAGGAUGAGAACUUCGGGAUUCCUUUAAAAUCAGAUCUUGGGAUUCAUCAGACAAAUGUCAGCAAUCUGGCUACUUUUUCAAGAUUUUCUGCAGUCUUCUCAUCUUCCCUGUUGAUUAAAAAUUCUUGUUCGUCUACUGGGCAACAUUAAGGUGUUUUUAGAACAUCACUAGUUGGCCGGGUGCAAUGGCUUAGGCCUAUAAUCUCAGCACUUAAGGAGCUGAGGCAGGAGGACUGUUUGAGGCCAGGAGAUUGAGAACAACCUGGGCAACAUAGAGGGCCCCAUCUCUACAAAAUUUUUUAAAAAAUUAUCUGGGUGUGGGCCGGGCGCGGU
rnacentral:lncRNA from 10 species